rnacentral:rRNA from 1 species
UAGGGAAUCUUCGGCAAUGGGGGCAACCCUGACCGAGCAACGCCGCGUGAGUGAAGAAGGUUUUCGGAUCGUAAAACUCUGUUGGUAGAGAAGAACGUUGGUGAGAGUGGAAAGCUCAUCAAGUGACGGUAACUACCCAGAAAGGGACGGCUAACUACGUGCCAG